UCGGACGUGGUGCAGGGUGCAUGCUCACUCUUCCGGAGCAAGAACAUGCAACUGAGGUGGGAGCCCCGGGUUCGACUCCCGGCGUCCGAA